CCGGUGCCUUUUCUGAUCAAUCUGUUUUUACUCUGCAUUUGAAUCAUUUGUCAUGAUCUGAAACUGAUAAUAAUCUUCUCUUCUUCAGAGUUUCAAAUUUUUGAUUGUCGUUGAUCAACAGGUGGUGAUUAUUCUGAGAAAUUUCCAUGAAAGAAACGAACUCCGCUUGGUCCUCGCUCUUCUUCAUCUUAUAAACAUGAAUCGAAGCAUCGAGUAGCCAAUAUUAGUGACACUGGUAUGGCUUCCCCAUUGAUCACUCCUGCAUAAUGCGAGUGGGACUGCAGUUGCCUACAAUUGAAGUUAGAUUUGAGAAUCUGCAUGUCGAAGCAGAAGCUUUUGUAGGGAGCAGAGCUUUGCCUUCUUUUACCAACUUCAAUCUUGUGACAUUGGAGGGGCUGUUAAGUAUUUUCCAUAUAUUUCCAAACAAGAAGA